UUCUUUGGCCUAGCUUAUUGUGAGAUAUGAUUUAUAUCAUUUUCAUUAGCUCAUUUCUUUACGUUUUCCCUCUGCAGGCUUGCAGGUAAUCCUUUUUGCAACGAAGGAGGAGAUGGGACACAAGAUUACUGUGUCAAAUCUCAACAAACUGAGACAUAUUCAACCCCACCAGAGAAUUGCUUGCCAACUGACUGCAGCUCUAAUCGAGUUUCUAGUCCUACCUGUAAAUGUGCUUUUCCAUAUACAGGCAACAUAGUCUUCAGAGCUCCUUCCUUUUCAAACUUGGGAAAUAGAACUACUUAUGAGACUCUCCAAAAGUCCUUGAUGCAAUCCUUCCAAAAUACUAAACUGCCCGUGGAAUCAGUUUCCCUCAGUAACCCAACAAAAAAUUUGGAUGACUACCUUGUAAUACACCUACAAGUUUUUCCAUCUAGCCAAGAUUUUUUCAAUCGAACUGGAGUUUCUGGAAUAGGUUUUGUGCUUAGUAAUCAGACUUUCAAGCCCCCAUCGUCAUUUGGACCUUUCUUCUUCAUUGGUGAAGGCUAUAAAUACUUCGACGGUAAUAGAACUAAUUCCUUUGCCUUUUUAUCACACAUUUCUCAUCUACUACAUAUAUGUGCAGCCUAAUCUAUAAUAAUAUAAAUUGUAAGUGAGCCGUUGGAGCAGCAUCUUAGUGAAGUUGAUAGUUAAGAAGUCUGAGUCUAUGUCUAUGCUGUUCUCCAGGGGCAUCCUCCGAAUCAAAAAAAUCAAGUAGUACAGGCAUUAUUAUUGGAGCAGCAGUUGGUGGUUCUGUCAUUGCAAUUAUAGCACUAAUCAUUGGAGUUUAUGCUUUCCGGCAAAAGAAAAGAGCUGAAGAUGCUGCAAAGAGGAGCGAUCCUUUUGGUAAGAUUUGUAACUAUCUAAUCAGACCAUUUACUUAUUACCUCAUCUUAUGGUGGCUGUUUGCUAUCUUUCUUCUUAAUGCAGCAUCCUGGGACGAGAAUAAACAUAGUGGUGCUGUUCCACAGUUGACAGGAGCUAGAUUUUUCUCAUUUGAGGAGCUCAAAAAAUGGACCAAUAAUUUUUCAGAAACCAACGAUAUUGGUUGUGGUGGUUAUGGAAAGGUUAGCUUUUAUUGAACAUGCGCAACCCCCUCCCCUCCACCGUCAUCAUAAUUGAAAAUAUCAGUAUAUCAAGAAGUUUGUUUGAACCAGCUUCUCUCUCCAAUGAAAGAAUUUCUUGGACUACAAUUGAAACUGUAAUGAGUUUUUAAACUGUAGAAGUGUCUCUACAGGUUUACAGAGGAACUCUUCCAAAUGGAGAAUUGGUUGCAAUUAAAAGAGCUCUACAAGGGUCUAUGCAGGGUGCACAUGAGUUCAAAACUGAGAUAGAGCUUCUCUCUAGAGUUCAUCACAAGAAUGUCGUUGGCCUUGCUGGAUUUUGUUUCGAUCAAGCUGAACAGAUGCUUGUGUACGAGUAUAUUCCUAAUGGCACCUUAAAAGACGGUCUUUCAGGUAUAUGUUGGUCCCUUCUUAUUUAUUCAUUGAAGCUAGCUCCUUUUAACUUGAUCAAAACAGAAAUGUGCAUGUCGAAAAUGUAAUGAAAUUUGCACUUGUAGGCAAGACUGGAAUCAGGUUAGAUUGGAUGAGGAGACUGAGGAUAGCCGUUGGAGCAGCCAGAGGUUUGCAGUAUUUGCAUGACCUUGUCAAUCCUCCCAUCAUACACAGGGACAUCAAAUCCAACAAUAUUUUGCUGGAUGACCGCCUAAACGCAAGAGUUGCUGAUUUUGGCCUGUCCAAACUUCUAGGUGACUCUGAUAGGGGUCACAUUACCACUCAAGUCAAAGGAACAAUGGUGAGUACAGAUUCUAUUAACGCCUUCCUGAACUUGUUUCGUGUUAGAAUAUUAUAGACCUGUAUCCCUCAAAUUUCUGAUGUCCAGAAAUUUAAUCAUGUGUCAAUAGUUUCUAGUCAAGUAAUAACCAUUACAAACAGUAUCUUAUUGUCUAAUAAAUAAAUAGGUACAUUAUUUACCUCAUAAUAAUGUCCUUUUGACGGAUUUAUCAGGGAUACAUGGAUCCUGAAUAUUACAUGACAAACCAGCUGACUGAGAAGAGUGAUGUUUAUAGCUUCGGAGUGGUGCUGCUUGAAAUAGUUACAGGAAAAGUACCUAUUGAAAAAGGAAGAUAUAUUGUCAGGGAAGUGAAGAGUGCAAUGGACAAAUCAAAAGACAUGUAUAACCUUCAAGACAUUUUGGAUCCUGCAGUUCGUGCAGGUGCAACUCCUAGAAGCUUAGAGAAGUUUGUGGAUUUAGCACUCAAAUGUGUUGAAGAAGAAGGAGCCAACAGACCUUCAAUGAAUGAAGUGGUGAAAGAGAUUGAAAAUAUCAUGGAGAUCGCGGGACUGAACCCGAAUGCAGACUCUGCAUCUUCUUCAGCAACCUAUGAAGGACCAAACAAAGGCAUGAACCAUCCAUAUACUGAUGAAAGUCUCUUUGUCUAUAGUGGAGCAUAUCCUAAUUCAAAGGUAGAGCCAAAGUAAGAUCAGUGUUUUUGUGGUUUUUCUUAGCUUGUGGAAUUAAGAUUGACACAUAAUAUGCUUUGGCCUGUUAUGUGUGUACAAAUUUGAGAGAAUGAUUCAACUAAUUUUGUCUUUGGAGUAAAUUAUUCUACAACAGAGAAGAUACUGAUUUUUCUUUUUUUUGAAACAUUUAUUUUUACCUUCUGUAAAAAGUGUGUAAACUUUUUUCUGAUAUCAAUUAGGAUGAUCAUUUGUAUAUGAGAAUUCACAUAUUUUCAUCCUAACAUAAAUUGUGCAUUCAAUGUUGUUGCAGCUAUGCCAAAGUUUCUGCAACUAUUUGUGAAAAGUUGACAUGAGAUCAAUUGUACAUUUUUAUCUUAUUAUAACAGCUUUUCACCUAAUUGUGGCAGAAAUGUUUUCCAACUCUUUACAAUUUUUUAAGAUUUCAAUUUUGAUGUUUUUUACAAGAGAUAUUCUUUUUUUAUCUGUUACAAUUUAAAUAAAAGAAAAUGGUCUUUUUAAAAAUUUUAUGGGUAAAAAUGAAAGAUCUCAGUAAAAAAAAUAAUAAAAAAAUACAAAACCAAAAAAAUAUAUUGGAAGAAGCCUAAAAAACAAUUCUCCUGCUAGUAAGAGGGAAGGGGUUCAAUUGAAUAUUCUUUGUGAAAAUUUUAUAGAUUAUGAAAGGAUAAAAAUAUUUUUUUAAAAUUACACUAGGAAAGCAAACACAAUUGGCAUUUCAAUGAGGUACCAGACACCCAAUUGAAAUCCAAAAAGAAAAAAGUUUUCAUGUUUUAAAAUACUAGUUUUGGAAACGUGCGUUGCAUGUUUAUUCUUUACUGUCAUACAAAUUUGUAUAGGCUUUUGUCACGAUCCAAAAAUGGAUGUGAUGGCACUUGUCGUAUCCCACUAAGACAAGUCAGCCUAAAACCCAAGCAUUUCGAUAAAGUGCGGAAAUAAAAAAAAGUUCAAUAACAAUUACAAUUACGAAAACAAGUCAACUUAGUUCAAUCCCCAAAACCUGGUUGUCACGUGCACAAACCUCUAAUGUAAAUACUAGAAUUGAAAUAAAANNNNNNNNNNNNNNNNNNNNNNNNNNNNNNNNNNNNNNNNNNNNNNNNNNNNNNNNNNNNNNNNNNNNNNNNNNNNNNNNNNNNNNNNNNNNNNNNNNNNNNNNNNNNNNNNNNNNNNNNNNNNNNNNNNNNNNNNNNNNNNNNNNNNNNNNNNNNNNNNNNNNNNNNNNNNNNNNNNNNNNNNNNNNNNNNNNNNNNNNNNNNNNNNNNNNNNNNNNNNNNNNNNNNNNNNNNNNNNNNNNNNNNNNNNNNNNNNNNNNNNNNNNNNNNNNNNNNNNNNNNNNNNNNNNNNNNNNNNNNNNNNNNNNNNNNNNNNNNNNNNNNNNNNNNNNNNNNNNNNNNNNNNNNNNNNNNNNNNNNNNNNNNNNNNNNNNNNNNNNNNNNNNNNNNNNNNNNNNNNNNNNNNNNNNNNNNNNNNNNNNNNNNNNNNNNNNNNNNNNNNNNNNNNNNNNNNNNNNNNNNNNNNNNNNNNNNNNNNNNNNNNNNNNNNNNNNNNNNNNNNNNNNNNNNNNNNNNNNNNNNNNNNNNNNNNNNNNNNNNNNNNNNNNNNNNNNNNNNNNNNNNNNNNNNNNNNNNNNNNNNNNNNNNNNNNNNNNNNNNNNNNNNNNNNNNNNNNNNNNNNNNNNNNNNNNNNNNNNNNNNNNNNNNNNNNNNNNNNNNNNNNNNNNNNNNNNNNNNNNNNNNNNNNNNNNNNNNNNNNNNNNNNNNNNNNNNNNNNNNNNNNNNNNNNNNNNNNNNNNNNNNNNNNNNNNNNNNNNNNNNNNNNNNNNNNNACCAAUGCAAAUGACAUGUUCACACAAAUAAUGAGAAGAUGACCAAUUUAAUAUCAAUGUACAAUUCACAACAAUACAAUCGUGACACAACAUCAACAAUUAAACAACAAGCCUUUUUAUUACCUUUUUUCCAUCACUAGAAUUAUUCAACAUGGACAAGUCAACCCAUCCAAGGGCGGAUCUAUAGUGUGUCCAGGGGAGUCAUCCGACCCCCCUCGGAAAAAAAAUUACACUAUAUAUAUAAGAUCAAUUUUUUUGUGUACGUGUAUAUAUUUAAAAAUUGAACCCCCUGAGCAUAUGUCAAAGGAGUAGCUCAGUGAUUUAUGGGGGUCAGGAUUCAGCCUAUGUGAGCUUUGGGUCACGGGUUCGAUUCCAAGCAACAACAUUUUUUUAUUUGAACCCCCUUGAUAGAAUUCCUGCCUCCGCCACUGAACCCAUCACCAAUUCCCAUUACUUCCAACCAUAUACCACAAGGAAAUACAUGAAUUCCAUAUGCUUAGCAAGAGUUUAGAAAUCCACUUGCCUCAAAUAACCGAACAAUCACUCCGAGACUUGAGUCUUCCCUUUCGUUGAGCUUCCAAAUCAAUACAAUCUAUUCAAGUACAUAGUCACAAUAAGAUUCCGAAACUAACAACACUCAUGUCACUAUAGGUUUAACCUAGACCCAAAAGCUUACCCAAAUUUAUAAUUAAGUUCCCAAGUCUUGAUGCCCAUUAACUUGUCAAUUCUUCCAAUUCCUUCAAUUAUCGUAAAUCUAAUGACAUUCACAAAAAUACGAUAUACUUAAUGUUUAAUUACCUAUUUUAACCUUUUUCCAUCAUUAGAAUUAUUCAACAUGGACAAGUUAACCCAUCACCAAUUCCCAUUACUUCCAACCAUAUACCACAAGGAAAUACACGAAUUCCAUACGCUUAGCAAGGGUUUAGAAAUCCACUUGCCUCAAAUAACCGAACAAUCACUCCGAGACUUGAGCCUUCCCUUUUUCGUUGAGCUUCCAAAUCAAUGCAAUCUAUUCAAGUACAUAGUCACAAUAAGAUUCCGAAACUAACAACACUCAUGUCACUAUAGGUUUAACCUAGACCCAAAAGCUUACCCAAAUUUAUAAUUAAGUUCCCAAGUCUUGAUGCCCAUUAACUUGUCAAUUCUUCCAAUUCCUUCAAUUAUCGUAAAUCUAAUGACAUUCACAAAAAUACGAUAUACUUAAUGUUUAAUUACCUAUUUUAAUUAAUAUAUCAAAAUUAAAAUACAAUGUGAUAAUAACAUAAGAAUUACUAAUUUUCGGAACCACUGGUUAUGAAACCAGUGGUGGGAAUCGACAAAAUCAAGACAUUAAUAUGUCGCCUGCAGGUUCCUAAAUUUAUAAUAUGUAAUCAUAACUUUAUCCUCACAAUUUUCAAAACCCACCAAGUGUACAACAAUGACAUUAUUCUUUCCCCAAGAAAUCAAUUAGGCCUUGACAUAUAUAGAGUAAUAAUCUAACUCUUUUAGUGAGAAUUCAACUUACUACUUGAAACUGGAGAUAGCAUGUAUGGAAAAUAAUUAUAUAUAUAAACUCCUAACAGUUCAACUCCCUUCAUCCCCAUAAAUUGACAACAAACAAAAAAAGAAAUAUAAUAAUAAUAACAAUAAUAUUAGCACCGUUUCUUAUCUACAAACUUACGAAGCAAAUCAUCCUUUUCCUACCUAAUAUAUUAUUAUUUCCACACAUAUACAUAUGUAGAAAUUAAUGAAGAGCAUGCAGAGCACUUGAUGCGGUACCUGAAGCAGAUCGAAACUCACGAUGUCGAAACCCUACGCCCUUUUCUUCUUUUCCUUUUUCAGUUAUGACUCAAAUAUUAAACCCCAAAUAAUUUAAUUCAUUUUAACCCAUGGUCAAGUGGUAUAGAUUCUUUAAUAAAUGAUCACUUUAACCCACUAACUAUCGAUUAAUUAACUUAAGUUAAACAAAUAGUUCAAAAUUUCCAAAAAUGACCUUCCGGGUCAUCACAAAUCUAACGUUGAUAAUUAUCAAUCACAUUAUUCUUUUGUAUUUGUUGUUCUAUGCAAAUAUAAUAGUGUCAAUUAAUUCUUUUCAUUUAAUUUUGAUUAUUUGUUUGCAAAAUAAAAAAUGUUGAAAAAUAUAUAACUACUUAAGAUAAUAUAGCAUAUAGUAUGUGAUGUAGUGAUGAACUCUUACUCUAAAUUUAAGAAAUGGGCGUAAACAUAUCUAACAAAAUUAAUAAAGACAAAGAAUAAAUAUAUAUUUACCAUUGUUAAUGAGGGAAAAAAUGACCAAUAAAUUUAUAAGUGGACUAAUAUUUUCCUUUCACUUUAUAUAAGAGAUCAUCACUAAAACUCUAUUAAAAGACGAAAAUAAUUGCAACCCAAAAAAAUUAUCAUAAAAUACAAAAUCAAUAAAUAAAGUGCAAAUAUAUAUACACACAAAAAGAAGGAUCUUUUGAGCAAGAUAACUAAGGAACAUUAGUAAAAAAAAAAGACACAAAUAAUGAUACAACCCACCCUACAAGAAGUUUCAUCAUAUAAAUCAAAAAAUAAUUAAGAAUAUUUAAACAUAAAUUAUGUAAUUGUUUUCGGCAUGUUCCUCAUACUCAAAUAAAGACAUUAUCAAAAUCGAAAGAAGGACCAUAAUGUGUUUUGCCUCCAACAUUCCCACGAUGAAGCAAUAUAAUUCUUAAACCAAAACUCAAUAUUGUUUUGUACUCCCUCCGUCCCAUUUUAUAUGUUAUCCCUUUCUAUAAAUAGUUGGUCCAUAAUACUUGUCAUUUCAUAAAAUCAAUGCAUAAAUUAGCAUAUUGUUCCUUUUUUACCCUUGUGAAUUAUUAGCAUUGAAAACAUACAUUUGACCAACUUAGAAAAGUUAAGUAAAUGAUUCAUGUUCAUUGGUUAAAUUAAUUAAUCAAAAUAAAUUAAUUCAUAUUCAUUGAUUGAAAACUUGAGUUCCAAAAAAAUUAAAUAAGGGUAGAAGGGUAAAGUUACAUAAUUUCUUAACGCAAGUGCAAAGUAAAAAUGUGACAUAUAAAAUGGGACGGAGGGAGUAAUUGAAACCCAAAAGUAGAAAAUGGAUGAUGAAUGCAUGCCGAUGAAAAGCUUGUAGAAGUUGCAUAAGUUGUGAAUAUAGAACUAAUAAGAUAAUUUUUACUUUGAGUUUGAUAGAUCAUUUGACUAUGCGAUUGAAUAGUAUAAUUUUUUAUGUCCAAAUUUAUAGAAUCCUAUAGAGUAUAUGAAAGGCAUGAUAUUAAUUUCAUGGAAGAUGAGAGGAAUUAAACAUUUUAAUUGAACUUAUUAUAGGUAAUAACUAAGAAAUUGAAACUUUCUGACAGAGCUUCAUUGGCUCGAUUUAUCUGACAAUCAGAUAGAAGGAAACAUUCCAGUCUCUAAUGGGAGCAACCCUGGUCUUGAUUUGCUUGUUAAUACUGAACGCUUGUACGCAUCUCCUUUUUCUUGAUGUUGUUUUGUCUCUCAACUGCAUUUUCUAAGAUUAUUUACAUUUCUUCAGUCACUUUGGGAAGAAUCAGCUAUCCGGUGAAAUUCCAGCUCGUCUUUUCCAUUCUAAUAUGACUCUGACACAUCUGUAAGUUCCAUCGAAUUGGAGAAUGGAGUGAAUGAAUAAUUUUGUCCGUAAUGGAGACCUCACUUGUAGUUGAGCUUGCCUUUUGAUAUUCUUGUUAGUGCAUGUUUUUACUUCUGAGAGUAGUCAUGUGAAAGAAGCUUGAUAAUUAUAUCACAAACAACUUUCCUUUUGAUCAUGCUUUACAGUUUCCUCAUGCUUGUAUAUUCUAACUUGUAGGCUAGUUGAGAAUAACAAAUUUACCGGGGUAAUCCCGGAUACAUUAGGAUUUGUCCAGACGAUGAAAAUGCUGUAAGUAUUGUUAUCUUGUGCUUUCCCUUUAUAAUCUAGUAAAAUUUCUUGCUCUCUAUGCCUUAUAAAUUGUUUCUGGUAUUGUAAUAGUCGUCUUGACAGGAAUUGCUCAACAUAGUACUAUAACUAUUUGUCCCCAAUCAUGGGCACUUACUUUUUCAGGGACAUGAGCAGGAAUGAAUUUAAUACAUCAGAUUUUCCUUCAUGGAUCCCAAGCCUGCAAUCAUUAACAACAUUGUACGCUACUAUGCUUUGUCUCUCAUUUUUUUUGUAUGUGUGUUUGUGUAUGCGUGACCAUGAGCAGGUUCACAAGUGCAUGUGUAUAUUCCUGCAUCCAUUUGAAUAUGGACAGAUUUCCAUUUUUUUCCUCAUUGUUAUGGAUUCAAUUCCUAGAAAUUCUUUUUAACCUUAUGAAUGACAGGGUAAUGGAAAAGACAGGGCUUCAGGGAUCAGUUCCAGCUAGCCUUUUCAGCCUACACCAGUUGCAGACAGUGUAAGUGUCCCUUUUACUUUGUGUUGUUUUUGUAUAAACUAUAGAUUGAGUAUCUGAAGUUGAAUUUUAUCUUAACUGAAAUUUCCUAACUCUGUAUAAUGCUGAUAUUCGUUGACAAUGUGCUCAUUGCUUUCAGCAUCUUGAGGAAUAACAAACUCAACGGUUCACUUGAAAUUGAAUCGGCACAUAGCAACCAGUUGCAGCUCAUUGAUGUGCAAAAUAAUCUUAUCGAAUCAUUUACUCAAAAACCAGGGUAUCCCUUUGAGAUAAUGUAAGCUCUAUUUCAUGAGCCAUAGAACCUCCAAGUUGACAAGAAACACCAUCAGUUCUUUGGCCUAGCUUAUAGUGACAUAUGAUUAUUCUAUGCUAAACUUGACUACAUAUUUUUCAUUAAUUCAUUUCUUACUUUUUCCAAUGCAGGCUUAAAGGCAAUCCUUUCUGCAACAAAAGCGGAGAAGGGACAGAAACAUACUGUAUCGAAACUCAACAAACAGGGACAGAUUCAACCUCACUACAGAAUUGCUUGACAAUUGAGUGCAGAUCUAAUCAAGUUUCUAGUCGUGCCUGUAAAUGUGCUUUUCCAUAUGUAGGCGACCUAAUCUUCAGAGCUCCUUCCUUUUUAAACUUGGGAAAUAUAGCUACUUAUGAGACUCUUGAAAAGUCUUUGAUGCUUUUCUUCCAAGAACGUCAACUGCCCGUGGAAUCAGUUUCCCUCCAUAACCCAACAAUAGAUUCAGAUGACGACUACCUUGUAAUACAUCUGCAAGUUUUUCCUUCUAGCCAAGAGUCUUUCAAUGCAACUGGAGUUGCCGGAAUAGGUUUUGUGCUUAGUAGGCAGAUUUUCACGCCCCCGUCUUCCUUUGGACUUUAUGUCUUCAGUAGUGAUGGCUAUAAAUACCUCGCUGGUAAUAGAAAUAUUUCCUUCUCCUUAUUGUCACUCAUUUCUCAUCUCCUACAUAUUACACAAAGUUAGAAACAGUAUAUAAGUAGGAAGUUCCUAACUUAAAAGUUGAAUUACCAUUCUGUUCUUAUUUUAUCUCUAAACUAAAUUCAAUAUUAAAUAAUAAUUUUAUUUAAAUUCAUGUAUCUAGAUACAAUGGUUCAAAUUCUUUGGGAAACAGUUACAAUGAAGAGGAAAGACCAAAAGUUGCCUUUUGUGUGGUUUUUUUUAGUGCUAUGUGCUUUUGAUUCUUCUUUCUUAAUGUUUAGUGAUUUUGAUGUAUUCUUUGAGUAUCAUCUUUUUUGUUAGUUUUAUGUUAUUUGAUUUGCUUAGCCUCAGUGUGCUUUCUAUCUAGACUAGAAAAGGUUUUUGCGGUUAUUAUUUUAUUUUUGUGUGGUCUUGUUAAUAUGUUGUACCCUUGAAUGUUUUUUUUUAUGUCUAUAUUUUGAUGAGUUUUGUGGUAAUUUUGAAAUGUAUUCUCGAGGGUAUUGCUCAAAUUUAUACAAUAUGUGAUACUUUUCUAUUUUUUACCUUGAGAUUUCAAUUACAGACUUUUUCAUCCUUUAAGAAAGGUAUUUAUUACUGUCAACGCAUAUUAUAGGAUUGUAGAGACGUAGACUUUCAGAAAGUCAUCGUAGUAAUGCCACUUUUAUGGUAACAAUUAAAAUAAUAAGGUUUAAUCUCACUUUUAUGGUAACAAUUAAAAUGACAAAAUGAAAAGUCAUGCAAAUACAAGUGACCAGUAAUUAUCUAUAUUUGAUAAUAGGAUAAAAUUACUUCACAAAAUUUAGAGUAUACAUAUCACCCUUCAUUGUUUUAAGUUUACGAGUAUAUUUCUUUUACUUUAUGUCUCAUUUAUAUAUUUUAUACAAACUCAAUAUUAAUUGAUAGGGUACACGUCGUGAGCCAAGACUAGUAUAUUUAUGAAGUCUGAGUCUGUGUAUGCUGUUUUCCAGAGACAUCCAGCGGAUCAAAAAAAUCAAGUAGUACAGGCAUUAUCAUUGGAGCCACAGUUGGUGGUUCUGUCCUUGCAAUUUUAGCACUAAUCAUUGGUAUUUAUGCUUUCCGGCAAAAGAAAAGAGCUGAAGAUGCUGCAAAGAGGAUCGAUCCUUUUGGUAAGAGUUGGAACUAUCUAUUAGACCAUUUACCUAUUACUACUUCAUCUUACGGUGAUUGUUCCUAUCUUUCUUCUUAAUGUAGCAUCAUGGGACUCAAAUAAACAUAGUGGUGCUGUUCCACAGCUGACAGGAGCUAGAUUUUUCUCAUUUGAGGAGCUCAAAAAAUGGACCAAUAAUUUUUCAGAAACCAACGAUAUUGGUUGUGGUGGUUAUGGAAAGGUUAGUUUUUAUUGAACCCAUAGUCUCCACCAUCAUCAUAUCAGUAUAUCAAGAAGUUUGUUUGAACCAGCUUUGAAAGAAACAAUUGAAACUGUAAUGAGUUUUUAAACUGUACAAGUGUGUCUCUACAGGUUUACAGAGGAACUCUUCCGAAUGGAGAAUUAGUUGCAAUUAAAAGAGCUCUACAAGGGUCUGCGCAGGGUGCACGUGAGUUCAAAUCUGAGAUAGAGCUUCUCUCAAGGAUUCAUCACAAGAAUGUUGUUGGCCUUGCUGGCUUUUGUUUCGAUCGAGCUGAACAGAUGCUGGUGUACGAGUAUAUUCCUAAUGGCACCUUAAAAGACGGUCUUUCAGGUAUAUAUUGAUUCAUUGAAACUAACUCACCAAAAUGGAAAUGUAAUGAAAUUUGUACUUGUAGGUAAGACUGGGAUCAGGUUAGAUUGGAUGAGGAGACUGAAUAUAGCCAUUGGAGCAGCCAGAGGUUUGCAGUAUUUGCAUGACCUUGUCAGUCCCCCCAUCAUACACAGGGACAUCAAGUCCAACAAUAUUUUACUGGAUGCUAACCUAAACGCAAAAGUUGCUGAUUUUGGCCUGUCCAGGUUUCUAGGUGAAAAGGGUCACAUUACCACUCAAGUCAAAGGAACAAUGGUGAGUAAAGAUUCUAUAAACGCCUGCCUGAAUUUGUUUCGUUUUAGAAUAUUGUAUGCUUGUAUCCCUCAAAUUUCUGAUGUCCAGAAAGUUCAGAAAUUUAAUGUGUCCAUAAUUUCUAGUCCUGUAAUAACCAUUACAAGCACUAUUUCAUUGUCUAGUAAGAACAUCUGAAGCUCCUCCUUUCUCAUCGACCACCCUUCCCUCCACCAAAAAUGAGUAAAUAAAUAAGUAGGAACAGGAAAGUACAAAAACGUUUUAUUUAUUUUUUGCAUAUUCUCUCAAGGUAAGGGACUUGUAGGUAAUGAUGCUUCAAAACACCAAAUUCAAGGAGAAAUACUACCUUAAUUAGGAAACAAUUGAGUUAUCGCCCAUAUAGAAGCUACAAGCAGAUAGAAGCUUUUUAACGUUCAUAUAAUGUGAUCUUGCCAUGUAUAAAAGGAAACAAGUUGAGAUGUUGCAGAAAAAUGUGUCAGUAUUUACCUCAUAAUCUAUGUCCUUUUGAUGGUUGCCUUUUAUUUAUUAGGGAUACAUGGAUCCUGAAUAUUACAUGACAAACCAGUUGACAGAGAAGAGUGAUGUUUUUAGCUUUGGAGUGGUGCUGCUUGAGAUAGUCACAGGAAAAGUUCCUAUUGAUAAAGGAAGAUAUAUUGUCAAGGAAGUGAAGGAUGCGAUGGACAUGACAAAAGAUUUGUAUAACCUUCAUGAAACUUUGGAUCCUGUAGUUCGUUCGGGUGCAACUCCUAGAAGCUUAGAGGAAUUUGUGGUUUUAGCACUCAAGUGUGUUGAAGAAGGAGGAGUCAAUCGCCCAAAAAUGAGUGAAGUGGUGAAACAGAUUGAAAAUAUUAUGGAGAUUGAAAGACUGAACCCCUAUGCAGACUAUGCAUCUACUUCAGCAACCUAUGAAGGAGAAAACAAAGGCUUGAACCAUCCUUAUACUGAAAGUCUCUUUGUCUAUAGUGAAGCAUAAUUUUCUCAUCUUGUAUUUUUUCAAUUGGAUUACAAAAAAGCACAAAACAAAACAAGAAAAGAAGGGAAAAUAGUCAGUAUAGGGUUGGUCACUUGUACUUGAAUUAGAAGUAAAAUUGCCAUCAUUUUAGGAACAGUCUGAAGAUUCAGUAACUAAGUAGUUCAGGACAUUGGUUUCUCCAACAAAGCAGAGAAAUACCACACAUUCUUAUCGAUCCCUCGAUCAAGCUCUAGCAUAGGAAGAUAAGCUACAUUUAACUGUGAUUCCAGGCAGAAGAGUCCUCCAGGCCUCAGAGCUCUGUAUAUGUCAUAUUGAGUGAACUCAAGCAUGGUAUCCAGAAUCCAAUUGUUCAAGAUACGAAUAGAGUGCAGGAUAUCCAGAGUAUUCUUGAAGAAAGGAAGCCUCUGGGAGACGCCAACGUGCAUUGAUAUUAAUCCCCUGAAUGCAAUGAAGCUGUUGAAUGGACCAACCAAAUUCAUGGAAGUUGUUACAAUGGUUACAUUCCUUUCCUUCAUCCUAGCAACCGUACCGAGGAAUUCUACUGAAUUCCGUGCAGCUAUGUUGAUCUUCCAGAGUCUACCCAAAGGUUCAAGCCAGAUUGUAGGAAGUGGGUGAUACGUUUUUGUAUUUCUAUGAGAAGCUCGACGGAACCCACAAUUUCCAAGUAGUAAGUUGUUGGCAUAUCGCGUCGUAACUCUAUCCUAGAUUUAAAUAGAGGUAGUCCUAGAUCAAACUAUUAGGAAUCAAAGCAAGAAAAGUAGCUGAUGGAACGGGGGAUCACACCUUUAGAAGUUUUUGAAAUCCCAACAAUAUUUACUAUAUAAAAAGAAUCCAGAAAGUCUGAUGGCUUUAAAGGAUAGGGGUUCAAUUGUUCCCUGACGCCUGGUUGCCAUAACCUGAUCCAAAAUUUAACAUGUUAUAACAGAUUAUUUACUACUUUAUGCAUCUGUCUCAUUAUAUGUGAAGGGGUUACUGUUUGGAGAAUCAAAUAAUUUAUUUUACCACAAUUUUCUGAAUUUUUUUAAAAACAUUUUGAAUUAUUAGUUAUGUUGACUUGUAAUACUUUUUGUAUAGAUUUUAAAUAUGUAAACAUUAUUGAAUCUACACCCGGAAUCAUAAUCAAUAUGAAUGUCACUUAUUUUCCUACUUCCACUGAGGAAGCCAUUUUCAAAACCUUACUUUUUUAGAAAAAAUAAUUUCCGAAAAUUUUGACCAAUAAACAUUAAUGAAAAAAAAGUUGCCAAAUUCCCUUUCUUUGGACAACCAAUAUGAGUAGUGAGUGAACCCACCUCAUUAAGAGCAACAUAUCUACCUUAGUCAACACAAUGGACCCAGGCCCUUGCUUCGGAUGAUCAUAGAAAAAUCAAUAUUAAAGUCACAAUAAAUGAUAGGGAACUUACAUAUUUGGCCGCUCACCCAAAAAUAAAAAUCCGCACAUAAAAAUAUCUUAUAUAUAUUUUCUUUUCGUUCAUUUUUACUGGUUCAUGUUUGACUUGACAUACCAUUUAAGGUAAUUCUAUAUUCAAGAGGACUCGAGCCUAUGACCUCUGAUAAACUUUUAUACUUAAAAAAAAAAAACUAGGAUGGACUAUUUUUUCAUCUUUAGAAGAGACAAAAUCAUUCUAAGAGUACUGUACAAGUUAGGGUCCAAUUAAUGCAUGAUGUAAGUUGAAACAUAACCUUACAUAGAGGGAACUGUGUUUUUUAGCCCCUACAAGGGUGUCUCUGUUUUCGUGGACUUAGAAUGUUCACUACUUACUACAACAGUAGUAUUUAGAAUGAUUAAGCUAUCACGUUGUUUGAUUGGGAACAAGUUAUUUUAUAAUUAUUAAUUCCAGAAUAAGUUAUUUCAUUAUUACGUAUAUGAAAUAAUUUAUCUUAUUACUAAGAUAUAAAUGGUGAGAUAAAUAAUCUCAGAACUGUCUAAUGCCUUCAAUCAAACGCACGGUAAAAAGUAGACCUACAUUUUAUUUCUAAAAUUAUUACAUAUCUUAUACCUCACAUUAAACACUGCUCAAGUUUACGGAGAGAGAAGACUCGUAUACGUAGAGAGAUAUUAUCCUUUUGCUGUUUAGAGAACAGUUUAAUCCUCAAAACAAACCAAACACUUGUGGUUUCUCUUUCUUCCCAUUAGUCUUUUUUUUCUCUCUUCAUUUUAGUACACAUAUUGGCCCAUAAGAAGAAACUUAGGUUGCAUGGUGGUGGAUUUAAACAAUGGUCCAAACAAGAACAAUCCAACUGAUCAUCUUUUGUCUGCUUAUUAUUUCUAUGCAAGUUUUGGUGCAGCUGGGAGCUUCAACAAAUUCUGGUGACUGUAAGUCCUACUUAUCACAUCUCUUUUGUUGUUUUUUUACUCUAAUAAUCAUGAAUUUAACUUGUAUACACCAUAUCGCGAAUAAAAAAUAAAGUUAUACUAGUACCUAGCACAGUUUAACAUGUUAUAUCGUAAGUUACUUAUUGUAAAUAGUUAUUUUUUAAAUGAUCUGAGUUAUGAAAGCAAAUUGUUUUCAUUUCUUUUCGGGUUUUUUUACUAGGGAAUAUAUUAGUGUCCACUAUUUUGACUCCAAUUUGUUUUGAUCCCAUUUUCGAGUUCAUUACUUAAAAGGUCAUUUCAAUUAUUAAACAUAGUACUGUUUUUCGUUGUUUUGUAUCAGAAAAGUCAAAUAUGAUUUUCUUCAUCAAUUUCAUUCCGUAUGUUCUGAAUUUUUUUAAAAAUAAUUAGUGUAUGGUAUUUUUGUUCAAAAAUAAAAUGAUUGGUGCAGAUGUUGUGUUAGAGCCACUGAAGGAAGAGUGGGAAAACAUACCUCCAAGUUGGGAUGGGUCUGAUCCUUGUAACGAUCCAUGGGAAGGCAUCGACUGCAACAAUUCACGCGUUAUUUCUAUGUAAGCCUUUUUUUGUGAUUAAAUUAAAAUUGUUAAAAGAGAAUCAUAUUAAUCGGAAAUAAUAACAAUAUUACCACUCUUUAAAUUAUUCCUAAAUUUAUGAAUAAAAUGUUGAAAUUAAGAAAUAAAAACACAAGUGCACUCUGUCAAAAAUUCCAUUUUUCCUUAGCUCGACAACGUCACAUGUUUAAUUCAAUGUUCACCCACCUCAUUUAUGCCAGCUAAAUAAUAUCUUCGAUUUUUUUUUUAAAAAAAAAAAAAUCUUCAAUUUUUUUUAAACACUAGAAUAAAUAAGGAAUUAUUUCCAAAAAAAAGCAAAAUAUUUUUUUUCUUAAAAAAUCUUAAUUAGUAAGAAAAGUACAAAAAUAUGUAACUGUUACUGUAUUUACUCUUCCAUUUUGGUCAGUUCAUGCGUAUAUAUAAUAACUAGUUCUGGACACGUGCGUUGCACGUGUGUUCCAUGUUAAUUCAUGUUGACUCAGCGUCCCAUGUUGAUUCAUUCAAAUAUUUUAUAUAUAUAUAUAUAUUAUUUUUUACAAUAGUCUAGGUGUUUCAUGAGUUGUUAUCGGUAGGUUGUUUAUGUAAACCUAAAAAAUUUAACUUGUUAGUUAACUUAGGCUUGCACAAUAUUUAGAGAGUUUAUUGUUUGCAUUUUUAAGAACAAAUAUGUGGUAUAGAUGCAACAAAUAUUAUGAUAUAUUUAUAUCUAAUAUAAUAUUUAUUACGAUUAUGAUUAUAUUUAAUUUUGUCUUUCACAAAAUUAUAAUAUUAGUAUUUAAUAGAAUGAUUAUUGCUUUUGAAGGCCCACAAUAUAAUGAUGGAUUGUUAGAAAUUUGAUAUUAAUGAAUGAUAUACAUGUGCAUAUAAGAAUAAACUCUUCUUUAUCUAUAGCAAAUUUAUAAGUGGUUUAGACAUUUAAAAUGUGAUUUCUUCUAUGCUCAGAUAUAAGAUAAUUUCACAUUAUUUUAAAUUGUCACCCCCUUCUUCACUUCACAAAAAUUAAAAUUAUUAAUGAGUGACACCCCUUCAAUAUUUAUGAUGUCAUGACGAUUUAAUACUUGAAAGAGGUAAAAUUUAUUUAAAACUCUCAUAUCAGGUUGCAGAUUUCUUAAUUUGGAGAAUUAUAGUUAAAGGAUGAAUUUUAAGAAACUGUUAGAUUAGUUUACUUUUUAAUUAUAUUUCUAUUUUAUAAAGUUUGUAUUGAACUAUUGAUAGAUGUUAAAAUUGAAACAUGAUUAUCGUGUUAUAUUUUGUAAGAACUAUAUUUAAUCAAAUAAAAUAAUUUAAAAAAAUACUUUAUAAUGAGAUGUUAAGAAUAGUAGAAAAUUUCAAAUUGCACUUGAAAAAUUCCUUUCUCAAUCAUGAAUUCGAGCUUACUACUUGAAUCAUGAAAGGCGAUUUUCUCACUGCCUAUUCAAUAAUUGAUUCCUCAAAUAGAAACUAAAACACAUUAUAAAUUGUGAAGUCUACAAGCUAAUAAUUUUCUUUAAAAUGAAAAAUUGCCAAACCAACAAUAAUAUAACAUGCAACCAAAGCUAAACAAAAUUAAUUUAACAUUGCAUCAAACGGUUGGCUAUAUGUGAUUUACACUCCUAGCGGUAUAUUGUGUUAACUGUUGAGUAUAUAUAUUAGAUCAAAACAUCUUCAAUUACAAAACUUCGAUUGCAAUUUCUUAAUAAUUCUCUUUUGAUCUCAUGGCGUGUUAAAAACAACAGGAAAAAAUAUGAUAUUUAAUAUGAUAAUAAGGAAAAAUUUUAAAAUAAUAAUAAUUAUACAUAAAAAAUAAAAAAUAACUUAUCUAAAGCAUGAAUUUAAAUACGAAAAUUAAAAUGUUUUUAUUUGCAACUUAGAGUUUUAUAUGAAUAAAUUUACAAUAAACCGUUACAGUAGAAUUCAUUCAAGGAUUUGAAAUAUCAGAUCAGAUAAAAAAAAAGAAAAUAACAAAUAUAGGAAUAAUGUAAUUUCAUAGAACAUGAAAAUGAUCAUGGUUAUCAAUAAAGUUGCUUAAAAUCCAACUUGUUCUUUUAAAGAUUGAUUUCAACCUCCGGGAAUAUUUCAACCUCCCUUCUCUCAUUGUAAACUCCAUUAGAAGAUCUAACAAUUUGUACACAUUUCCUUUCUGUAAACUAACAACGAAUAUAAGGAGAAUUAGUGAUCAGUGUUAUGAACUGAUGAAGCUAAAAGUGAUAUUAAUACUAAAGGAUAAAAACAAUAUAAAUAUAGACAAUUUUUUUUUUAUUUCUUCCAAAGUGUACCUAAGUCUCUUCAAAGUGUAUAGAUUGUUGUGUACAAAUAACCAACAAUUUAAUAGGACAUCAUAGAGUAAAAAUCAAAAGGUAUCAUAAUCAUGCCAUUAAUUUCUUGAGAGUGUGGGAAGAUUAUGAAGGUGUGAAGAUUAAUGAUGAGAUAGUGGAGGUGUGGUAUUAAUACACAUUAUGAUAAAAAUUACACCUAAAACUGAUCAGAUGGAGAAACGAAAAGUUUCUCUAAUAGUUUUUCGUAACUUUAUAAUUAAUUAUUUUUACAACUCCUCAUUCUCCUAACUUUAUUUUAACAAAAAAGUGAAUCAACUUUAGCAAUUUAGGCAUAUUUAAUAUUUAAUUAAUUAGAUAUUUUAUAAUAUUUUAAUUUAGUAUAGGGAUAAAAUGGUAAUUCAACUUUCAACUUUUUUUGUUCAUGCUUAUAGUAAUAUAUGAUAUGAUAAAACUAAAAUGCUUAUUAUCUAAUGAAACUAGGUAAAAAUUAAAUCAUAUUAAUUUUGUUAAAUGACAUUGCUAAUUGUAAUUUGUGGUACUAAUUAAUGAUUGUGAAUUUCAGAAAAUUAUCAAGCAUUAAUCUGAAAGGGGAGCUAUCUGGAGAUAUCGAAGCGUAUGUCUUCUACUCAUCAUAAUUGAAAAUGUUAAAAUUUGAAAAAAAAAAAUUGCCUAAAUUAUGUUCGCUCUGUUUUAAUUUAUUUGUCUGUUUUGGACUUGACAAAAAAUUAAUGAAAGUAAAUAAGACUUCUGAAUCUUGUGUGGUAAUAUGACCAUUUUUAUUUUUGUGCUCGCCAAAGUGUUCCUAAAGGAUUCAUUACAAAAAAUAGUUUAAUGAUUUAAUUUGGUGUGAUAAAAAUGAAAGUUGAGUAAUCAUCUGUUAAAUUAAUCCUGUUCUUGAAGCACCAUUUUGCUUGUGAUCAAGCAUUGCAUGCACACAAAUAUUUUUGACUGUUGAAAAAGUUUUAAAUUUCUGUUCUGAUUAUCUGUUUCCUUAAUAGGGAUCUAUCAUACAACAAAGGCUUGACAGGUUCACUCCCUCAAUCAAUUGGAAAUUUGAAGAGUUUAUCAAUUCUGUAAGGGUAUUAUUACAUGAUAUGAUUAAAUGUUGUUAAAUUCACCAGCUGAUUUCUUUAGAGUAAUUGCUCCGAGCUGCCUCGCAGGAUCCUUGUUGGUUGUGGGUUUUCUGGACUGAUACCAAACACAAUCGGAUCCCUUAGCCAGCUGGAAUUUCUGCAAGGAUAUCAAUUUCUUCUGUUUGCAGCUUUUUAUGCUUAAUGAAUUCAAGAUAUUGAGGAUAUGGAGUAUUUGAAGAACUUUUAGUACUUAAUGUUUUGUAUAAUAUUGGAAAUUUGGCAUGAGAUGAGUUGGAUGGAGUAACUUGGUCAGUGAGGAUUUAUAUAGCCGACCCCAACUUGUUUGGGACUGACGCUUAGUUAUUUUUGUUGUUGUAGUAAUUCUUGUAUCCCUUUUCGUUGUCAAACUGUGAAGUCUUAGAGCUUCAGGUCUCUAGAUAUGUUAUACUAGAUUGAAAUAUUUUUCCUGUUUCUUCUACUGGGCUACAUUUCUAAAACACUAUCUGAAUCAUGCAGAUAAACAACUUUAUCGGACCGAUACCAGCUUCUGUUGGUAAUUUAUCAAAGCUACGUUGGCUGGACUUAGCUGAUAAUAAGCUCAGUGGACCUCUUCCAAUCUCCCGUGGAAGCACAGCUGGUCUAGACAUGCUUGUUCACACAAAGCAUUUGUGAGUAAUACUGAUUACUGUCUGUUCAUUAAGCAACAUCUUCGUCUCUCAUUUUCAUCUGAUAUACCACUUACCUCGCAGUCACCUGGGGAGAAAUCAGUUCUCAGGUGAGAUUCCAGAUCAGCUAUUCAGCUCAAAUAUGACUCUCAAACAUUUGUAAGUUCCACUAAACUGGAAGUGUGUUUAUAUUUUGACAAUUAUUCGAUGGAUCAACUUCAUUAUUGUCCCACUCCUACGCUAUGGUGCUAGCUCUGACACUUGGCACUACUUCCGUUUGGUUAAUGGUUUCUUCUGUUUGGGUCUUGUAAUUGCACAGGCUGCUUGAGCAAAACCAGCUUACUGGAAAAAUACCCCUUUCAUUAGGACUUGUGCAGACUCUGGAGGUGGUGAUGUUCUGAUUGGAACUCUAUUCUGCUAAGAAAAUGCAUCAAUCUUGAUGUUGUGAUAUUACAGAUUAUGUCUUUCGAUUACUUUAAUUUGAUUAUGUGUCCUAUGGUCAUGUUUUGCAGAGAUAUGAGCAAUAAUACAUUCAGCUCAGCUGAUUUUCCUCAGUGGUUUUCAACUUUGCAGUCAUUGACGACUCUGUAUCCAUCUCUCUCACCCUUUCUCUUUAUCUCAUAACAUGCAUGUGUGUAUUUGUCUCUGAGUUCACGUGCCUCAGCAGAACUCACAUGCAUCUGAAUGUAUAUGUUAUCCUAAUGAAGUGGUUCAUAGAAUUUGUUAUGCACCUCAUUUGUAUUUGUUCUGCUCAUAGUGUAAUGGAGAACACUCAACUUCAAGGAGAAAUUCAGCCAACCCUCUUCAGUCUUUUUCAGUUGCAGACUCUGUGAGUCUUCUUUUACUUUUAGGCCACGGUGCAUGUCAUGCAACUAUUUUCAUUUUUUCGCUGUGUGCUAGUCUUGUAACAAAGUUUGAAAGGCAAUACAGAGUGACCUAGUAUAUGAUUCUAUGUUUUGCAUUUUGAUUUUACGACAAUGAGGUGGUUAUUUAUGACAGCAACUUGAGGGGAAACAAGAUCAAUGGAACCCUGAAUAUUGCAUCCAACUAUAGUAGUCAAUUAAAACUGAUUGAUUUGCAGAACAAUUCCAUCGAUUCAUAUACAGUAAGACCUGGAUUUCCUUUUCAAAUAAUGUAAGUCCUCAAGCCACUUUUUCUCCACUUUAGCAAAGAGAAAGAAAUAAUGGAUCAUUCAUGAUAGGACAUUUGAUUCUUCUGAAUACAAUUUAGUCGUUUAACAAUCUCAGUUUUCUACUUGUUCAUUUGGCAGACUUAUGCAUAAUCCAGUAUGUUAUGAAGAAGGAUCAGAAGACUAUUGUGGCAUUUCCCAAACAAACUUUGGAUAUUCAACUCCACAAGAUAAUUGCCUUAAAACACAAUGCAGUUUUGAUCAAAUUCUUAGCCCUACCUGUAAAUGUGCUUAUCCGUACACAGGCGACUUAUUCUUCAGAGCUCCUUCCUUUUCUGACUUAACAAACACAAGCAUUUAUGAGUCACUUCAGAAGUCUAUGCUAUCUUCUUUUAGCCAAAAUCAGGUGCCAGUAGAUUCAGUUUCCUUGAGUAAUCCAAAAAAGAAUUCAGAGUACUACCUUGACACCUGCAAGUUUUUCCAUUUUGCCAAGAUCAUUUCAACCGUACAGGGAUUGCUACAAUUGGAUUUGCACUUAGCCACCAGACUUACAAACCCCCACCAAAUUUUGAACCAUUCUUUUUCUAACUUACUAGAUUAAGCACUAACUUCUUUUGAAUGACUUAAUUAAGUAGUUGACACUUGACAAUGACCCUUAAAUUUUGAUAUUCCUAAAAGAAGAAAAAAACUACUACUUUAAUUUCGAGAAAAAACUAGACUUUAUUUAAUUAUCUAAACCUAAUCAAGUUGUUAAUAUUCAUCUUAUUUAGGAUUAACACUCAAUAUGGUCAAUUAUUAUUAUGAGAAAUAUUCAAUAUUUGAUCGAUGCUUGUGAUGAAGUUUUUUUCCCAAUAAAUUGGUAUAGAGGGAGAAGAUUACUAUUCAGCUGCAAGUGAAAGUUUAAGUGACCAACUAGCUGAGCUACUAAGUAGGGAUGACCAGUGGCGAAUCUAUUUGUAAAAAAUAGGGCAUCGGAACCCGUGGUCUCUUCGUAAAACUAGAUAUUUUAUGUAUAUAUUUUCUAAAAUUUGUAUUUUAUUAUAUUCUUGCACCCGUGCUAUAAGAAGUCUAUCUGGUCCACUUUUUACCUUGAGGAUGAAGAAUCAAUUCUCACUUAAUACAUUUUUCUUGAUGCAUCCAUGUUCGGAUCAAUUUCCACUUAAUACAUUUUUCUGGGUGCACCCAUGUUUGAAAAAUCCUAGAUUCGCCUCUGGGAAUGACAAUUGGGUGAGGCGGGGCAGGUGAAGCCUUGCAUACACAUUUCAAGUUGAAAGAGUAAUAUCGUCUCUGAAAAAAUGAGUCAUGGUUAUUUUAGGAAUUUUCUAUAAACUCUUUUUUGUUAUUUUGAACUAUGAACUAUUUAUAUCUUUAGCUUUAAUUAUAUGUUCAGUAAAGGAUCUAUUAUAUAUAUGUAUAUAAACUACAAAAAUUUAGCAGGUUGAUAUGCUCAAGUUACCAGGGAAAAAGAAGGUUAAAAGUUUAGAUGCCAACAUGCCAAUGAAAUUUUUUAGAAAGAAACUAUAAUGUGAAUGAGAAAUAUAUUUUGAAGUACAUACUAGUGUAUCACUGUGACACAAUUUAUGAUUUAAAGGACAAAAAAGAAGGAUUCUAUCUAAAUAAGAAAAGUAGAAAAUAUUUCAAAGAAAAAAAAUACAAGGCAAGAUCAUAGGAAAAGAAGCUACAUAAAGCUGCACAACCCAUUUAUUGUUCUCUGAAAAUGUACUUUGACCUGCCCUGCCACAAUUGUCAUCCCUACUAGAGAAAAUGGUCUAAAACCCCCCCAAUCUAUACUCGAAAUCUCAACUACACACUCCAACUUUACGGGUGUCCUAUUACCCACCUGAACUUUAUAUUUCUCUAUUUUAUACACACCUAAGUGCUGACCUGUCAUGGGAGGUGUUCUCACCUCCUCUAGGCGCGUUAAAAGGUUAAUUUUGACGAAAAAUUCCUCCUUCUCCAAUGGUCAUCUUCCCCACUUUUAAAUAAACCAUUAUUUCUUUUUCCCCACCAUUAACCCUUGGUCCUUAUAUAAAAAAAUCACAAUUUCCUCUCAAAAUUUAGUAGGGUUUAGUUGUUAAUGUUCAUUUCUACUUCAAAUCUUGAAUUUAGGAUUUGUAAUAUGCUCUAAUUUCUUAUUUAGGUCUCUAAUUUUAAUUUUGAAUUUUCUCGAAAUUCAUCAAAAAUGGCAAGUGGAAACUUGAAUAAGCUUUGUAUGGAUGAAUCAAACCUAAUUGGAACGAUCUGAAUCACUCCCUCCGAAAGAUGAACAACGCGCCUAGAGGAGGUGAGAACACCUCCCAUGACAGGUCAGCACUUAGGUGUGUAUAAAAUAGAGAAAUAUAAAGUUCAGGUGGGUAAUAGGACAUCCGUAAAGUUGGAGUGUGUAGUUGGGAUUUCGGAUAUAGAUUGGGGGGGUUCUAGACCAUUUUCUCUCCCUACUACUAAGGUUGUUUUAUGUUAUCAAGUUGGCUAUUCAAAGUUCUAUUAUGCUUAAUAAAAUAUUGAAAGACAUUUUCAAUCGUUUUGUGUUGCCUCAUUUUUAAAACGGAAAAGGGCCAAAAACUUGUAAUCAUAUUUUAAACGGAAAAGGGCCAAAAAUAUCCUUGGAGUAUUUGAAAAGGUUUAAAUAUACCCCUCAUCCAUCUAUUUGGCUAGAAAUACCCCUCAAUCCACCUUUUUGGCCUAUUUUUACCCUUAAAGCUUAACAGAUUUUUUAAAAUUAUUAUUAUUAGUAGUAGUUAUUACAUGGCGUUUUUCUAUUGGAUAAAAUUUAAAUUUCCAACCCAUUGGAUUUUUUCCGAUCCAAACCCACAACCCAUGACCCAAAUCCAAUUAAACUUAAUAAUGAAUCAACUCCUAUAUCUCUCCCUUAACCACAUUAAUCUCUGCAAUGUACUACUGUAGUUAUGGGAGAAGAGUAUUGAGAAUGCAGAUGAAGUAAUCAUAAUUUUUACGGUUUGAUAUAAAGAAGUUUUCCUUUUUAAUUUGAAAUUAUUGGAAAUUUAUAAAUUGAAGUAACGAGGUGUUCUGCUUAAGCACAGGUUUUUGAAAAAUAGGCAGUAGUGAUUUCUCAAUUAUGUGCUUUAAAUGAUUAUUGAAGCAAUGCCAACCAGAUAAACAAGAAGAACACUAUUAUAAAUAUGAGAAGAAAAAAAAAAGAGUCCACAUUAUUCGUCGAUCAAUAAAUGAGAAAUCACGAAAUCAAUGUGAUUCUGUUUCUGGGAAGUUUCGAAUUUUUUCUUUUCAGAAAGAAAUAAUUUUUUGCAUUUCCUGAUUUCAUUUCAAAACAAUAAUUAAAGAAAUAACAUUUGACAAUAAAAAAUACUUUUAGAGAAAAUCUAAAUAUUGUAAAAAUGCAAGACCAAAUGCUCCAGUAAACUAAAAGUUCAGAAAAACUUUCGUUGUAGUAAUGAAUCUUUGGUGAAGAGCCAGGGAAGGAAGAGAUACGACGUACUUGAUUGAUUGUGAGGUUUAAUUGAAUUUGGGUCUGGAUCCGGGGCGGGUUGAAAAAAAAUUAAUGGGUUGGGAAUUUAAUUAUAUCCAAUAGGAAGAUGCCACGUAAUAAAUUAUAAUAAUUUAAAAAAAUUGUUAAGUUUUAAGGGUAAAAGUAGGCCAAAAAGGUGGAUUGAGGGGUAUUUUUAGUCAAAUAGAUGGAUGAAGGGUAUUUUUAAACCUUUUCAAAUACUUCAAGGGUAUUUUUUGCCCUUUUCCGUUUUUAAAAUAACACCAACAGUGGUAUCAAGAGCUUCAUUAAUCUUAAGGGAUUUGAGAAAUCUUCAAAAAAAACUACCAUACAUUUUUUAACCCGUAAGAGUUACCUUUUUAACCCAUCAGGGCUAUCCAUUUUAACUCAUUCAGAGUUACCUUUCAACUCGUGCUUUUCUCAACGCACAAGCUUUUCUAAACCAUUUUUAAUGAAAAUAAUGUCAAGCAAUAGUCUCUCUUUGAAUGCCCAAAAAAAUUCACUGGUGAAAACUAUCAAUUUGGUCAGUGAAAAUGAAAUCGUAUCUUGAACCCUAUGAUCUGUGGAAAGUUGUAAUGGAAGAUAUACCCGUACAACCUCUCCCUACAAAUCCUAUCCUUGCUCAAAUUAAAUCUCAUUCGAAUGAAAAAUCAAAAAUGUCAAAGCCAAAACUGUAAUUCAAAAUUCAGUUGCGUAUUUGAUUUUUUCUAAAAAUUCUUAUGACAACUCCAGAGAGAUUCGAAUCUAAAUUUCAUCUCGGGAAGAGUCUGAAGAUCUCUCUACUAUUUCUAUUGAAGAACGAAUAAGUGUUCUUCAAGCACAAGAGCAAAGAAGAGCCUUCAGGCAAGAUAAUGUUACUGAGGAUGCCUUUUAUGCACAAAAAGAGAAGAGAAAAAGGUAAUUACUCUUUGCAAAUACUGCAAAAGAAAAAUACACUUGGAAAAUUUUUGUUGGUGGAAACCUGAUGCAAAAUGUGGAAAUUGCAAACAAGCCGGUCGUGCUACAAAAGUAUGCAAGCUAAAAAACAAUUUUCAAGCACAAGUUGUAGAAGCAGAAAUCGAGGAGGAGCAACUUUUUUAAAUUGCAGUAUCUAAAACAAAGGAGGAGUGAUGAAUUUGUUUUUUAGUUAUUGCAUUCAUUUUUUAAAAUAAUAAGUUACCUUGUUUUUGGAUGAAUUUGAAUUUUAAAUAUUUGUUAAAAGUUAUUUUAAUUGUUGAGAUUAUGUUAUCAAGUUGACUGCAGCUUAAUAAAAUAUUGAGAAACAUUUUCGAUAGUGUUGUGCUGCCCUUUUUAAAAAAAAACGAGAGUAGGUGAAAUGAAGCAAUCCCUUAUUCAACUCCUUUACAAGUAAAUGCAUCAGAUAGCUGUCAUUGAUAGGCAGAACUUGAAAAGGGAUUUGAAGUUGAAGUUGUCUUGUCGAUUUUAAUUUCUGAAGUUGAUCACAUAUAUGGUAGUUUCUAUGGCAAUGAUGCUGCGAAUUUUCGUCAGUUUUCUGGUUGUUUUGAUCCAAGUUCUGUCAGUAGCAGCACGAACUAAUCCUGUUGAUUGUAAGUUGCUUUUGUUCUUCUCUAUCAAAUGUUUCUUAACCAGUGUACAGAGAUAUUUGAUUUAUCUGUGAGUACUGGUGUUCAAAUCUUAGUUCCUUUUUGUAAUCAUAUGAAGAACUUGUCUCUUAAUUGCAAUAAUCUUGAGGGAACAUUAAAUAUUUCCUGUUCUCUUCUAGAUAUGGUCAAUUAAGUGUUCUAGUGACGAACUGAUUCAAUAUUUUAUACAGCUGCUGCUUUAAAGUCUCUCAAGGAUUCUUGGUAUGGUCCUUCCAAUUGGACAGGAGAAGAUCCCUGUGGGAGUAGUUGGGAAGGAGUUGGAUGCAGAAAUUCACGAGUGAUUUCUAUGUAAGAAUUCGGUGUGUAUCCUUUUGUCAACUGCUUAAAAUUACAGAAAUCAUAUGGUUGAUGCCAUCUUUCUCAAUUUCAGAACACUGUCAAGUAUGGAUUUGAACGGUCAGCUAUCUGGAGACGUCCAAGGAUUAUCUGAAUUGGAGACUUUGUAGGUCUUCCUUUCACAUUUCGUGUUUCUACUUCACUCCCUUUUUUCUUUUGACGGAGCAAUACUUUGUCAGUUCUAAUUAUGGACUGCUCCUUAUAGGGAUCUAUCAUACAACAAAGAUUUGACCGGAUAUCUUUCUCAGUCUAUUGGAAAAUUGACAAAGUUAUCAAAUUUGUAAGUGAAUGUGAAUAAUCAUCACUCGAGUAUUCACUUACCAGCUAAUCUCGUGAUAAUAUGCUGAUGUUUUCUUGAUUUCAUGACAGGAUCCUUGUUGGUUGUGGAUUUUCUGGACCAAUACCAGACUCCAUAGGAUCUCUGACCCAGCUGUUUUUUCUGUAAGCAUUAUGUGGCACUCUUUGUACUUUGAAUGUGCGACCAGUACGUGACAUAUUUUACCAGAAUGCAAGGGUCAUACACUAUCUGCUUAAAAUUGUUAACGUAAUGUGUGCUUUUGGUGCUAGCUGUACUCAAAUUUUGGUCCAUCUCUGGGACAGGCAAUGCACUUCUAAACAGAGAAAUCAGUUCAUGAGGAGUUCAAUCCAUACUGCUAUUCUUGUGUUUUAUACGUUAUCAAAAGUUGAACUGUUGUGUUUACCAUAUCUAUCUGUAUAUGAUUUCUUUCAACCCUUCUUCUGGUAUAUGCUCUAAAACAGCCCCAUUCUGUAUUAUGCAGAUCUUUGAACUCUAACAAAUUUACUGGAGGAAUACCUGCUACCAUUGGCUAUCUGACAGAGCUUUAUUGGCUCGAUUUAUCUGACAAUCAGAUAGAAGGAAACAUUCCAGUCUCUAGUGGGAGCAACCCUGGUCUUGAUAUGCUUGUUAACACUAAACACUUGUACGCAUCUCCUUUUUCUUGAUGUUGUUUCGUCUCUCAACUGCAUUUUCUAAGAUUAUUUACAUUUCUUCAGUCACUUUGGGAAGAAUCAGCUAUCCGGUGAAAUUCCAGCUCGUCUUUUCCAUUCUAAAAUGACUCUGAUACAUCUGUAAGUUCCAUCGAAUUGGAGAAUGGAGUGAAUGAAUAAUUUUGUCCGUAAAUAUUGGGGACCUCACUUGUAGUUGAGCUUGCCUUUUGAUAUUCUUGUUAGUGCAUGUUUUUACUUCUGAGAGUAGUCAUGUGAAAGAAGCUUGAUAAUUAUAUCACAAACAACUUUCCUUUACGGUUUCCUCAUGCUUGUAUAUUCCAACUUGUAGGCUAGUUGAGAACAACAGGUUUACCGGGGUAAUCCCAGAUACAUUAGGAUUUGUCCAGACGAUGGAAGUGCUGUAAGUAUUGCUAUCUUGUGCUUUCCCUUUAUCAUCUAGUAAAGUUGCUUUCUGAAUUGUUUCUGGUAUUGCAAUAGUCGUCUUGACAGGAAUUCAUUCAGUGGAUCUGUUCCACAAAACCUCAACAAUCUCACACAUGUCAAUGAACUGUAAGUAGAAAAUGAAACAAUUUUCUGAACCUACUGUAGGUCCUCUUGAUUUUUUGAAGUAGUAUAUUUUGACCAUGUAUUACAGCGACAUAUCAAACAACAAUUUGAAUGGCCUUUUGCCGAAUCUCACUGGCAUGAAUGUCCUCAACUACUUGUAAGUUGCUUAUCCUAAGUUUUGUGUCUUUAUCCCUUUGAGUUGACAAUCCAUUAUUCUCAACAUAGUACUAUAAAUAUUUCUCCCCAAUCACGAUUCACGGGCACUUUUUUUUUGCAGGGACAUGAGUAGUAAUACAUUUAAUGCAUCAGAUAUUCCAUCAUGGAUCCUAAGCCUGCAAUCAUUAACAACAUUGUAUACUCUCUCUCUCUCUCUUUUUUACUAGAUUUGGGAACGUGCGUUGCACGUUUAUCCCAAAAUACUUAUAUAAAUUUUGUAUUGCAAAUGACAUAUUUUAUCCCCUUCAAAUCUUUGGUAUUUACAAAGAAAAAUCUAUCAUUGUUUCUAUAGGAACUACAUAUAUCUUCCUAAUUAAAAAAAAUAUACCUUUAACUAUAAAAUUGACUAAAAGUUAAUAAAGUAAAAAUAACUAACUAUUGCACAAAUUCAAUAUUCAAAUGAGGAUACUAAAACACCACAUGCUAGGCUAAUGUAUACAAAACAACAAACCAUGAUAAAUUCUCAAUAAUAACAACACAACAAUAGAAAGUUGUACAAUAACAACAAACAAGAAAAAUAAAUGUUAAACUAAACAAAUAAAAAGAGACAAGAGAAGAGAGCAUAGAGAUUUUCUCAUAUUUUUUUUCAAUUGGUUUAAGUGUGUAAAUUAUUGUGUCAAAUGUCAUUAUUUAUAGGAUAGCAUUGAGGAACACAAAGAGUUGUCAUAAAUAUGAUAUUAAUCCAUUUGAGAUUAUUGAUGAGAGUAAAAACAUAAUGAAUAUAAUUGGUGGGAAUUACAUACAUAUAAUGAAGAGUUAGUGGUAAUUUAUGUAUACUAAUAUGAUGAUUUACUAUUUACUACUAUUUAAUUUAUUAAACAAUUUAUAACAUUUAAAUAUAAUGUAGAAAUAAAACCGUUAUCUAAGGAUAAAAUAUGUAAAAGAAUUCAAAUAUAUUAAAUGUGUAGUGAAAAAUCAUUAUGACUAAUUAUUAAAAAAUUCAUAGUAACUAUGAUUAUGAAAAAUCAUUACUAUUACUACAUGGAAGAUGUAAAGAUGGUUGUUUUUUUCUUGCUAAUAAUAACUUACAAUUUAAUAAUGAGUAUUGAAUUGUAAGUCUAGCUGGAAAUAGGAGUGUUAACUACCAUAAUACGAACAAUCAAAAUUCAUUGAAUCCCAAAAUAAAUAUUAAAUGAAAAAAUAAUAUUUUAAAUAAAUUCAAGAAAAUAAAUUAAUAGUUAAAGGGUAUUUUCGUAAUUCAACUUUUGACUUAGAUUCUUCCCACUUUUAAUAUAACUAGUUCUCGACACGUGCGUUGCACGUGCAUCCCAUAUUAAGUAAUAUAAUUCAUAAUUAAAUUGGAGGUUAAUGAGCAACAAAUUAUAUGGAUAUGCUCCAUGUAUGAAAUUCAAAAGUCCAUGUUAUAUGGAUAUGCUCCAUGAAAUGAGGAAAAGAAGUUGCAUGUUAUCAGAAGUCCAAAAGUCCAGGUAAGAUGGAUAUACUCCAUGUAUGAAAUUAAUUAAAUGAAUUUAAUCAUUAAUAACUAACGAAAAUUAUAAUGCCAUAACUACAGAAUCAAAAUGCAAUUGCUAGACUUCUAAUUCAGUAAAUAAAAUAUGAUUAUUUCAUUAAAUUUACUGGUUAAUUAAAUAUUUAAUUAUAUUUUAAUUUAGUGUGGGGUAAAUUCGUAAUUCAACUUUUAAGUUAUGAGCUUCCCACUGUUAAUAUAAAAUAUAAAAUAAUAAUAUGAUUUAUUGGUUAAUUAUAUUUUAAUUUAGUGUGGGGGUAAAAUCGUAAUUCAACUUUUAAGUUAUGAGCUUCCACUUUUAGUAUUACUAGUAUCUGGACACGUGCCAUGUUAUUUUGUUCAAACUUAUUCAUUAAGAUGGAGGGAAUAUAUAAUAGUUAAAUAUAUUGGUUUUAAAAAAUGAAAGCUUAUACUUACUAAAAUAAAAAAAUUACAACACAUAUCAAUUCUCUCUUUACAUAUAAAGUAGAAACAACUGCUAAAAGUAUAACAAGAAUAUUUGAAUCCUAAAAUUAAAAUAUUACAUGUUGGAAUAAUAAUACAUAAACAUUGUGCAUUACAAUAAAUCUGUAUUGAACUUUGUUUAGUGAAGUUGAUGUUACUGGCUAAUCGAACUCUAGACGCCAAUAGCUUUAGAUACUUUCCAUUCUCUCAAAUUGUUGCUUUCUCUUCAAGAACAAAAAAGAAGAUGAAAUUAAUUAAUAAAUUAAAAUUAUGCAAGAGCCUAUAAAAAUGGUGAGAAAGAAUUCAAGAAUCCUUUCUUGCCUUUUAUAGCUAUUUUUUGAGUAAGAAUUCAAGAAUCCUUUCUUGUUUUUUUAUAGCUAUAUUUCAAUUUUCAUUCCUUGAACCUUUUCUUUCAUUAGUCUACAUUUAAUUAUUCAAUGCAACUCUUCCUAUUCUCCAAACUAUUUAGCAAUGAAUAACGCACACUUAAAUUUGAUUAAUGGGUAAAUCAUUAAGGGCUACAUUUAAAUUGGACUUUUGAAUAUCUACAGAUUCACAAAUCUCAUGUAAAUUUAAAUACAAUUACUACUAUUUCAAUUAGAUUAGGCAUUUUAUUUUAAUUAAAUAUAAGAGAAAAAUUGUAAUCUAACUUUAAACACUUGUUUUAUUUUUCUCCAUUUUUAUUCAUGUUUAGUACAUUCACCUCAGACUAAUAUUCUACUUUGAACAGAAAUAACACAAAGCAAUAAAUAUAUAGAGAUACAUAUUCCAAGCCAUAAUAAAUGUCAUUAUUUUUUAUUAUGGAUACAUUCACCUCAGUUCUCACUCCAUGAAUUUCCGUAACAUUUCAUUAAUUUGACUGGAAACAUAAUAAGUAUCAUUAUCUUUUAGUUGGAAUAUGAAUGUCAAAGAGUGCCCUCUCUUUUUUUGUGUGGAUAAUUUAGUGAUUUUAUAUUUAUGUAUAUUAAUUUUGAAGAGAUAAUACAUUUUUAUUAUUAUUUAUUUAGAUUAGAUGUUGUAUCUAUUACAUUUUAAUUAAGUAUAGGGGUAAAAUUGUAAUUUAACUUUGAAGAUAGGUGCUUCCCACUUUUAGUAAUUAGUAAAAAUUACUCCCUCUAUCCCUAAUUACUUGUUCACUUUUGAAUUGACACACCUAUUAAGAAAACAAUUAUUGACAUAGUGAGUGUACCAUUUUACCCCUAUUAUUAAUUAUAAAGUGGAUGGAUUAAAAAUUUAAGAUUUUCAAGAAAUUUUACCUUUUUCAAAGUAUUUAAUUGAGGGUAUAGUAGGUAAAAUUAUUUUGUCCUUUCUUGAUUUGUCAAAAUGAACAAGUAAUUAGGGAUAAUUAUAAAAGGAAAAGUGGACAAGUAGUUAGGGACAGAGGGAGUAGUAAAUUAGUAAUAUAUAUAAUAUAUAUAUAAUAUAAUAUAUGAUAUGAUGUGUGUGUGUAUGCACGACCAUGAGCAGGUGCAUGUGUGUAUGGGGCUCGUGUAUAUGCCUGCAUCCAUUUGAAUAUGGACUGAUUUUAUUUUUUCUUGUUUUUAUGGAUUCAAUUCCUAGAUGUUCUUUUUAACCGUUUGACUGACCUUGUAUUGUCAGGGUGUUGGAAGACACGGGACUUCAGGGAUCAGUUCCAGCUAACCUUUUCAGCCUACACCAGUUGCAGACAGUGCAAGUGUCCCUUUUACUUUGUGUCGUUUUUGUAUGAAGUAUAGAUUGAGUAUCUGAAGUUGAAUUUAUCUUUGCUGAAAUUUCCGAACUCUGUAUUAUGCUGAUAGUUGUUGACAAUGUGCUCGUUGCUUACAGCAUCUUGAGGAAUAACAAACUCAACGGCUCUCUUGAAACUGGAACCACAUAUAGCAACCAGUUGAAGCUCAUUGAUGUGCAAAAUAAUCUUAUCGAAUCAUUUACUCAAAGACCAGGGUAUCCCUUUCAGAUAAAGUACGCACUAUUCCAUGAUUCUUCAAGCCAUAAAAUCUCCAAGUUGAUAAGAAACACCAUACGCGAGACAGUUUUUUGCCUAGCUUGUUGUGUCGUGUGAUUAUUCUAUGCUCAACUUGACUAUAUACUCGUUUAUUUACUUUUUCCUAUGCAGGCUUGCAGGCAAUCCUAUCUGCAAUGAAAGAGGAGAAGGGAGAAAAACUUACUGUAUGGAAACUCAACAAACUGAGACAUACUCAACCCCACCAGAGAAUUGCUUGCCAACUGAGUGCAGCUCUAAUCAAGUUUCUAGUCCUACCUGUAAAUGUGCCUUUCCAUAUACAGGAAACCUAGUCUUCAGAGCUCCUUCCUUUUCAAACUUGGGAAAUAGAACUACUUAUGAGACUCUCCAAAAGUCUUUGUUGCUUUUCUUCCAAAAACGUCAACUGCCUGUGGAAUCAGUUUCCCUCCGUAACCCAAUAAGAGAUUUAAAUGACCACCUUGUAAUACAGCUGCAAGUUUUUCCAUCUAGCCAAGAUCGUUUCACUUGGACUGGUGUUUCUGGAAUAGCUUCUGUGCUUAGUAAUCAGACUUUCAAGACCCCAUCGUCAUUUGGACCUUUCUUCUUCAUUGGUGAAACCUAUAAAUACUUUGUCGGUAAUAGAACUAUUUCCUUUUCCUAUUUAUCACUCAUUUCUCAUCUCCUACAUAUAUGUGCAGCCUAAUCUAUAAUUACAGAAAGUUGGUGGCUGAAGAAACAAUAUAUAUUUGAAAUCUUGAUGAUUAAGUUUGUAUGUACUUUCGUUUGACAGAAGAAUUUACUGUAUUUUUAAGACUUUGAACGUGAAUAGCAACUAUUAC
rnacentral:lncRNA from 1 species